GGUGCAUCUGUCUGGGCUGGCAUGCAGCUGUAGCUGGCUGGUGCUGCAGUCGCAGCUGCAGCUUUUCCCUCCAGUACACCUCAACUCUGGAUUCCCUUCAUUCAAGUGGACAGAUGGUCAAGGUGGAGAGAAACUCACCACACAUCCCAAGAUACAUGGGCGCAGAUUUGCGUGUGGAUGGGUCACAAGUCAUGUGGGAAAUAGCACGGAGGGAGCGAAUGAAAGACCAACAGUGUAAUUAACGAAAGGAGCUUCUCUUGUGUGCCACAGGCAAACAGCUUCCAGGAGCUGGCUAACAGAAGCUAAAACGGCCUGCUUCUGGCAGAGGCCUAACUGAGGGGCUGCAUAAAGGUUAAAAGGUCAGUAUGAGUUAAAUAAGGAGUUCUUUGAACUGUAAAUCAUGGCAAGUUAUUCCAGUAGAGCCCUGGAUUCAAAAUAUAGAUCUGUAAAUAUGCAUAAUAUGCCCCCCUUUAAAAAUACUGCAAAUGUUAUCUACACUUUUUGCAGGGCAGGAUCUUUAAAGACCCUGAAAUCCUAGUUUCUCAAUCAGAUUCUUACAGUGAGUGUUGGGAUCCUACAUGAAAAACUUUCCGCCAAAGUUACAACAGUUUUGAUUAUUUUACAUGAAAGAUUUCUGUACUUCUGUGCUACUACUGUGAUUCUGUCUGUGCUAUUCUCACUGGUUUGAACUAGCUGAGGUGAUGUUACAUACUUUCACACACCUAUCAGGAUUUAGAAAAAUGCAAUGACAAUUUUUGGCUUAUGUGGUCAGCACUGUCAAUCGAUCUAAUCAAACCACACCCUCACAGUCCUGAUGAAGCAGACUGUCUGAAUUUUGGACUGUAAUUAAUAACAACAGUGGGGUUUUUUUCCCUGAGCUUUUGGAUUUUGCUAAUUAAGCUUUAAAUAUUAAAUCUUAU